AUGCUUCUCCUAAAGAUUAAGCCAUGCAUGUCGUGAAUAUGAGGUGACGGUCUCUCUGAAUCUGCGAACGGCUCCGCAAACCAGUUGCAAUACCUAGCACGCUCAGCCUUGGGGCCUCGGCUCCUUGGCACCGAUACGGAUAUCCCUGGUAAUUCUGGGGCUAAUACAUGGCUAACCCCAACGCGUACGGCCCCACGGGGGCGCUUCACGGCGCCCUAUCCAACGUGCGGUGACCUGCGCGGGGCGCGUGAAAUCAUACCAAGCUCGGGCAAAAAUCAUUCAGUCGGGACAGAACGCACGCCCAGACCUGCACGCUUCACGGCAACUGGGGAAACUCACGACGGCGGCGGGCCCGGCUUCGGCCUGGGCUUUGACCGUCCUGACGGGGAUCCUCGGGCAGGCAGGUGCCACGGCUUCUGACCUAUCAACUAGAAUGCGGUAAAAUGGGCUGCAAUGGUCGCAACGGGUACAGAGGAUUAGGGUUCGAUCCUGGAGAGUGGGCCUGAGAGAUUGCUCCUACUUCUAAGGAAGGCAGCAGGCGCGCAAAGUUCCCAGUGGACACCAGUCCGAGGGCGUUAGGGGAAAUAUGAAUGGUCAUCAUUAUGGUGGCCAASUCAAA
rnacentral:rRNA from 1 species